rnacentral:rRNA from 1 species
GGGGAAUAUUGCACAAUGGGCGCAAGCCUGACGCAGCGACGCCGCGUGGGGGAUGACGGCCUUCGGGUUGUAAACCCCUUUCGCCAGGGACGAAGCGAGAGUGACGGUACCUGGAGAAGAAGCACCGGCCAACUACGUGCCAGCAGCCGCGGUAAUACGUAGGGUGCAAGCGUUGUCCGGAAUUAUUGGGCGUAAAGAGCUCGUAGGCGGUGUGUCACGUCUGCCGUGAAAACCUGCGGCUUAACCGUGGGCGUGCGGUGGAUACGGGCAUCACUUGAGUUCGGUAGGGGAGACUGGAAUUCCUGGUGUAGCGGUGGAAUGCGCAGAUAUCAGGAGGAACACCGGUGGCGAAGGCGGGUCUCUGGGCCGAGACUGACGCUGAGGGGCGAAAGCGUGGGGAGCGAAC